AGACCCGAAACCCGGUGAUCUAGCCAUGGGCAGGUUGAAGGUUGGGUAACACUAACUGGAGGACCGAACCGACUAAUGUUGAAAAAUUAGCGGAUGACCUGUGGCUGGGGGUGAAAGGCCAAUCAAACCGGGAGAUAGCUGGUUCUCCCCGAAAGCUAUUUAGGUAGCGCCUCGUGAAUUCAUCUCCGGGGGUAGAGCACUGUUUCGGCUAGGGGGCCAUCCCGGCUUACCAACCCGAUGCAAACUGCGAAUACCGGAGAAUGUUAUCACGGGAGACACACGGCGGGUGCUAACGUCCGUCGUGAAGAGGGAAACAACCCAGACCGCCAGCUAAGGUCCCAAAGUCAUGGUUAAGUGGGAAACGAUGUGGGAAGGCCCAGACAGCCAGGAUGUUGGCUUAGAAGCAGCCAUCAUUUAAAGAAAGCGUAAUAGCUCACUGGUCGAGUCGGCCUGCGCGGAAGAUGUAACGGGGCUAAACCAUGCACCGAAGCUGCGGCAGCGAACGUAUCACCCAAGACAACUUUACGGAGUUGACGAUUGACGGAGCGAAGCGACGUCAAAGCGUUCAUUAAAGUCGAGUUGGCUUAGGGAUACGUUCGUUGGGUAGGGGAGCGUUCUGUAAGCCUGUGAAGGUGUGUCGUGAGGCAUGCUGGAGGUAUCAGAAGUGCGAAUGCUGACAUAAGUAACGAUAAAGCGGGUGAAAAGCCCGCUCGCCGGAAGACCAAGGGUUCCUGUCCAACGUUAAUCGGGGCAGGGUGAGUCGACCCCUAAGGCGAGGCCGAAAGGCGUAGUCGAUGGGAAACGGGUUAAUAUUCCCGUACUUGGUGUUACUGCGAAGGGGGGACGGAGAAGGCUAUGUUGGCCGGGCGACGGUUGUCCCGGUUUAAGCGUGUAGGUGUGUGUUCCAGGUAAAUCCGGUUCACUUUAACACUGAGGCGUGACGACGAGGCACUACGGUGCUGAAGCAACAAAUGCCCUGCUUCCAGGAAAAGCCUCUAAGCAUCAGGUAACACGAAAUCGUACCCCAAACCGACACAGGUGGUCAGGUAGAGAAUACCAAGGCGCUUGAGAGAACUCGGGUGAAGGAACUAGGCAAAAUGGUGCCGUAACUUCGGGAGAAGGCACGC
rnacentral:rRNA from 2 species